rnacentral:rRNA from 1 species
GACGAACGCUGGCGGCAUGCUUAACACAUGCAAGUCGAACGGAAAGGCCCUGCUUUUGUGGGGUGCUCGAGUGGCGAACGGGUGAGUAACACGUGAGUAACCUGCCCUUGACUUUGGGAUAACUUCAGGAAACUGGAGCUAAUCCCGUAUAGGAGAUCCUGCGCCAGGGUGGGGGUUGGAAAGUUUGGGCGGUUGGGGAUGGACUCGCGGCUUAUCAGCUUGUUGGUGGGGUAGUGGCUUACCAAGGCUUUGACGGGUAGCCGGCCUGAGAGGGUGACCGGCCACAUUGGGACUGAGAGACGGACCAGACUCGUACGGGAGGCAGCAGUGGGGAAUAUUGCACAAUGGGCGGAAGCCUGAUGCAGCAACGCCGCGUGCGGGAAGACGGCCUGCGGGUUGUAAACCGCUUUCGCCUGAGACGAAGCGUGAGUGACGGUAAUGGGUAAAGAAGCACCGGCUAACUACGUG